rnacentral:lncRNA from 1 species
AUCCUCUCAACUCUCAUAUGUCAAUCUCUCUAUCUCAACAAGAAGCUGUCAACCAUCCCUUACAAAGCUCUCAAAAAAUCCCAAGGAAAUUCUCUGCCACUCACCAAGACCCUUAGGCUCACUCUCUAUUUCCACAGGCCGUCAAGCCCCUUUUAAAGAGUCCAAAUCGAGUCCCAAUCACAUCCAUACACCGAGUUGCAUUCAAAAAUCCCUUCUGACGUCUGAUCAUGC